rnacentral:lncRNA from 1 species
UUCAGAUUUCCAAUUUCAUGGAUGGUGUUAUUGUUGUUGUGCUUGACUGUUCUUCGACCGUAGUAUUUUUUUCUUUUAUUUUUAAGAUUUAAGAAUUUUUUUCUCUUUAAUUUGUUUUCAGAUUCGAUUUACAAAGAUGAAGGGCCCAAAAGUGGGUUUACAAAUUUUCAAAACAAAUCUAACAUUUCCAUUUGAUACACUCAUUCUUGGCUUGGGAAAUGCUCUCUUCGAUGCAGUGAAGGAAGGAUAAGAGUAAGAGCAAUCGUUUGAACAUUUUCAGAGUUUACUUUUCUCUUUAGCUUUUGAUAACACAUUUUUUUCAUGUCCAAGUAAGUAUAAUUUUUCAAUCCCCAUAUUAUGCUUUUGAUGAAACCUUUCAAAUUGCAAAUGAUUAACAUAUUUUAGU